GUGCUCGCUUCGGCAGCACAUAAGCUAAAAUUGGAACAAUACAGAGAAGAUUAGCACGGCCCCUGUGCAAGGAUGACACGCAAAGAGAGACCAGCCGAUGGCCU
rfam:Tupaia chinensis contig222521, whole genome shotgun sequence.